ensembl:snRNA U6 U6 spliceosomal RNA
UUGCUCACUUUGGCAGCACAUUUACUAAAACUGGAAUGAUUCAGAGAAGAUUAGCAUGGCCCCUGUGCAACAAUGACAUGCAAAUUUGUGAAGCAUUCCAUAUUGAA